UGUGGGGCACUUUUUUGAAGG
rnacentral:piRNA from 1 species